rnacentral:rRNA from 1 species
GCUAACUACGUGCCAGCAGCCGCGGUAAUACGUAGGUGGCGAGCGUUAUCCGGAAUUAUGGGCGUAAAGAGCGCGCAGGUGGUUGAUUAAGUCUGAUGUGAAAGCCCACGGCUUAACCUGGAGGGUCAUUGGAAACUGGUCAACUUGAGUGCAGAAGAGGGAAGUGGAAUUCCAUGUUAGCGGUGAAAUGCGUAGAGAUAUGGAGGAACACCAGUGGCGAAGGCGGCUUCCUGGUCGUAACUGACACUGAGGCGCGAAAGCGUGGGGAGCAAACAGGAUUAGAUACCCUGGUAGUCACGCCGUAAACGAUGAGUGCUAAGUGUUGGGGGUCGAACCUCAGUGCUGAAGUUAACGAUUAAGCACUCCGCCUGGGGAGUACGGUCGCAAGACUGAAACUCAAAGGAAUUGACGGGACCCGCACAAGCGGUGGAGCAUGUGGUUUAAUUCGAAGCAACGCGAAGAACCUUACCAGUCUUGACAUACCAGUGACCGUCCUAGAGAUAGGAUUUUCCCUUCGGGGACAGUGGAUACGGUGGUGCAUGGUUGUCGUCAGCUCGUGUCGUGAGAUGUUGGGUUAAGUCCCGCAACGACGCAACCCCUGUCGUUAGUUGCCAGCAUUCAGUUGGGGACUCUAACGAGACUGCCAGUGCAAACUGGAGGAAGGUGGGGAUGACGUCAAAUCAUCAUGCCCCUUAUGACCUGGGCUACCACGUGCUACAAUGGUUGGUACAAAGAGAAGCGAAGCGGUGACGUGGAGCAAACCUCAUAAGCCAAUCUCAGUUCGGAUUGUAGGCUGCAACUCGCCUACAUGAAGUUGGAAUCGCUAUAAUCGCGAAUCAGCAUGUCGCGGUGAAUACGUUCCCGGGUCUUGCACUCACCGCCCGU